GGCAUGUAUACUUUGAUUGACAGCUACACCAGCAGACAGCAAGGGUCGGGGACGGGCUCACGUGUGGUGGAGAAAACAAAUGCGCAAGGGGUGUGCGUAAACUAGCAGGCUCUUCCCCAGAGUGCGAGCGUGAAGCAAGUGGUUGAAUUGCGCGCUCGUGUGUGGUUUAGUUAUCUAAACCAGUUAUCUAUUAUUGUUUAUUAUAAUUAAUAAGGAGGUCACAGCAGCAUUAUUUUAUCUUGACUUUGGCUUGAUAUAAAAUGGACUGAUUUUCUUUACUGUUUAUUUUUAUUCAGGCAAAAUCCACUGUAUAUGGACUCGGACUCUGAUGAGCCAUCAAGUGAACCGAAGAAACCACGUCUUUCACGCCCCCCUGAUGUGAGAGUUCCAGCAGCAUGGUCCUCACAACUGGCAAGAAAUGAAACGAUGGCAGCAUCCGCCACUGCGCUGGGCCGUACCACCAGCUGCAGGUCCCACAGAGAGAGGGUACCAGUAUAUCACCAUAUGGUUCCGUGCACAACCCAUUUCGUGCCCCACAAUAUGCACAAAACGAUGUGACCAUGCAAGGUGACAACGGGCAGCUUUUGAAAGGC